UACGUAGGGUGCAAGCGUUUGUCCGGAAUUAUUGGGCGUAAAGAGCUCGUAGGCGGUUCGUCGCGUCGGCUGUGAAAACCUGAGGCUCAACCUCAGGCCUGCAGUCGAUACGGGCGGACUUGAGUACUGCAGGGGAGACUGGAAUUCCUGGUGUAGCGGUGAAAUGCGCAGAUAUCAGGAGGAACACCGGUGGCGAAGGCGGCAUCCUGGACCAAUACUGACACUGAAAAGCGAAAGCCAGGGGAGCAAACGGG
rnacentral:rRNA from 1 species